UACGUAGGGUGCGAGCGUUGUCCGGAAUUACUGGGCGUAAAGAGCUCGUAGGCGGUUUGUCGCGUCUGCUGUGAAAACUGGAGGCUCAACCUCCAGCCUGCAGUGGGUACGGGCAAACUAGAGUGCGGUAGGGGAGAUUGGAAUUCCUGGUGUAGCGGUGGAAUGCGCAGAUAUCAGGAGGAACACCGAUGGCGAAGGCAGAUCUCUGGGCCGUAACUGACGCUGAGGAGCGAAAGCAUGGGGAGCGAACAGG
rnacentral:rRNA from 1 species